UAGGGAAUCUUCGGCAAUGGGGGCAACCCUGACCGAGCAACGCCGCGUGAGUGAAGAAGGUUUUCGGAUCGUAAAGCUCUGUUGUAAGUCAAGAACGGGUGUGAGAGUGGAAAGUUCACACUGUGACGGUAGCUUACCAGAAAGGGACGGCUAACUACGUGCCAGCAGCCGCGGUAAUACGUAGGUCCCGAGCGUUGUCCGGAUUUAUUGGGCGUAAAGCGAGCGCAGGCGGUUUGAUAAGUCUGAAGUUAAAGGCUGUGGCUCAACCAUAGUUCGCUUUGGAAACCGUCAAACUUGAGUGCAGAAGGGGAGAGUGGAAUUCCAUGUGUAGCGGUGAAAUGCGUAGAUAUAUGGAGGAACACCGGUGGCGAAAGCGGCUCUCUGGUCUGUAACUGACGCUGAGGCUCGAAAGCGUGGGGAGCGAACAGGAUUAGAUACCCUGGUAGUCCACGCCGUAAACGAUGAGUGCUAGGUGUUGGAUCCUUUCCGGGAUUCAGUGCCGCAGCUAACGCAUUAAGCACUCCGCCUGGGGAGUACGACCGCAAGGUUGAAACUCUAAA
rnacentral:rRNA from 1 species